CCUACGGGUGGCUGCAGUCGAGAAUCUUUCACAAUGGGGGAAACCCUGAUGGUGCGACGCCGCGUGGGGGAAUGAAGGUCUUCGGAUUGUAAACCCCUGUCAUGUGGGAGUAAAUUAAAAAGAUAGUACCACAAGAGGUAGCGACGGCUAACUCUGUGCCAGCAGCCGCGGUAAUACAGAGGUCUCCAGCGUUGUUCGGAUUCACUGGGCGUAAAGGGUGCGUAGACGGUUUCGUAAGUCGUGUGUGAAAGGCGUGGGUUCAACCCGCGGACUGCAAAUGAUACUGCGAGACUUGAGUAAAGGAGAGGGAGCCGGAAUUCGCGGUGUAGCGGUGAAAUGCGUAGAUAUCAAGAGGAACACUCGUGGCGAAGGCGGGUUCCUAAACUGUAACUGACGCUGAGGCACGAAGGCGAGGGGAGCAAAAGGGAUUAGAUACCCCAGUAGUC
rnacentral:rRNA from 1 species